rnacentral:rRNA from 1 species
CCCGGCACGGGUGGAGUAAACAACGUAUGCAAUACCACCUCGUAACGAAGGGGGUAAACCCGGGAACGGAAAGGACUAAUACCCACUAAUAUGGGCGGCCCGCAUGGAGAGCCAUUAAAGAGAGCAAUUUUGGUUUACAGACGAGCAUGCGCUCCAUUAGCCAGUUGGCGGGGUAACGGCCCACCAAAGCGACGAUGGAUAGGGGUUCUGAGAGGAAGGUCCCCCACAUUGGAACUGAGACACGGUCCAA